rnacentral:rRNA from 1 species
GGGCACUGACUGAUGGCUUCGGGCUCGACCUCCAACCCUUUGUGAACACAACUUGUUGCUUCGGGGGCGACCCUGCCGUUUCGACGGCGAGCGCCCCCGGAGACCAUCAAACACUGCAUCUUUGCGUCGGAGUUUAAGUAAAUUAAACAAAACUUUCAACAACGGAUCUCUUGGUUCUGGCAUCGAUGAAGAACGCAGCGAAAUGCGAUAAGUAAUGUGAAUUGCAGAAUUCAGUGAAUCAUCGAAUCUUUGAACGCACAUUGCGCCCUUUGGUAUUCCGAAGGGCAUGCCUGUUCGAGCGUCAUUUCACCACUCAAGCCUGGCUUGGUAUUGGGCGCCGCGGUCAAUCCGCGCGCCUCAAAGUCUCCGGCUGAGCUGUCCGUCUCUAAGCGUUGUGAUUUCAUUAAUCGCUUCGGAGUGCGGGCGGCCGCGGCCGUUAAAUCUUUCACAAGGUUGACCUCGGAUCAGGUAGGGAUACCCGCUGAACUUAAGCAUAUCAAUAAGGCGGAGGAA